CCGCUGCUAGUGCCGCUAUUUUUGAUUACCUUCACGUUCGGGAGCGAUUUACAGCCUUUUACAAGACAAACGUUUUUAUGAGCUGCUUUUGGGGUUCUUCUAAAGGAUUUAUUCACCAGGGGGAUACUGCUUCACUUCACAAAGCUAAGAAUGACCCGCCACUAGCUACUAGCUACUACUAUUAGCACUGUGCUUGUAAUGAGUUAUGCAAACGGCUGAAAUUGAACACCAACCCAGAGGCCAGAGGAGUCCAGACUAAAACAGCACAUUCCCCCGGAGUCCUCAUGCCAGAGAGAGAAACAAACAUGGAGCCAGGAAAUGUGAGGGAUUUGAACCUAAGAUGCUGCAGGCUGGCUUUUUGUGUGUAAAGCUGAAUUUGAAGAACAUAAUCAUCCUAGGUCAGGUAAACCUGCUCCCACGUGUCGGUUCAGGAGGUUCUCCAUGAUGGAAACUUCACUCUUCCAGACCCCUGAUGUCCCCCUGCACAGGCUGUCUGUCUUAUCUCAGCCCUUCUAGAGCCCGUGGCGAAGGAGUCUCAGGUGGCGGGCAACAAGUUGAUGACAUUGGGCAAGAGAGCGGGCGUUGAUUAUGAAAUAGUCGGGCUCUUGUGGCUGUGCAUUGAAUACUCGGUCUCUUGCUCACUACAGACUCGGACAAGAACAGGG